UGGGGGAUAUUGCACAAUGGGCGAAAGCCUGAUGCAGCGACGCCGCGUGGGGGAUUAAGGCUUUCGGGUUGUAAACCUCUUUCGCUAUCGAACAAGGCCCGCUUAGGGUGGGUUGAGGGUAGGUGGAGAAGAAGCGCCGGCUAACUACGUGCCAGCAGCCGCGGUAAUACGUAGGGCGCGAGCGUUGUCCGGAAUUAUUGGGCGUAAAGGGCUUGUAGGCGGCUUGUUGCGCCUGCUGUGAAAACGCGGGGCUUAACUUCGCGCGUGCAGUGGGUACGGGCAGGCUUGGGUGUGGUAGGGGUGACUGGAAUUCCAGGUGUAGCGGUGGAAUGCGCAGAUAUCUGGAGGAACACCGAUGGCGAAGGCAGGUCACUGGGCCAUUACUGACGCUGAGGAGCGAAAGCAUGGGUAGCGAACAGG
rnacentral:rRNA from 1 species